CACGGACAUAAUAAAGGCGACGAGCCUUCUUUCCCAUUAAACGCUCGGAUCCAGCUUUUCACUCAUUUAGAAAAAGCGUUCCCUGUCGAGGUAAGAGGGCUGAAACUGAAGGGAAGUUUGACUUCGCCGUUGACCGGGGGGACACCUUCACCGAUGUGUUCGCCAGGCAUCCAGAUGGUCGCGACGGGCCCUCAAACUCCUCUCUCGGGACCAGAAUUACAAGGAGGCUCCCACAGAGGGGAUUCGCAGAGUAUUGGAGGAGUGCUGGCUAGGGCUCUCCUUGAGAAGGCUGAGCCUCUCCUGGACGGAGAGAUCCUCCUCAUUAGUUUCUCCGAUGGGUACCGUCAGGCGGCAGCCAUUGCAAUUAAGCAGCUGGACAAGAUUGGCGAGACCUUCCACUUUGAUCCCAACAACAGGGAACCACUCACCCAGACUGCCACGACCGCCCUGGGAUCCAAAGUGUUCUGAAAUACACAAAAAUCGCUAUCCUCACCUGCCCGUUUGAGCGCCUAAUGCCCAAGACCAAGCAUAUCUACAGAGCACUUCAGAAGUACGAGAAGAUCAAGCAGGUGAAGGAUAAUGGCGCCACCUUGUGCUAUCUGUCAGUGGGGCUUUGAUGACGAGGCGAACCAUCUGCUACUGCAGAAUGAGCUGCAGGGCGCUGUGUCGGAGGGCCUGAGAUUGAGCUCAUUGCCAUCGCCAGCGGAGGGCGUAUCGCUCUGCGUUUCAGUGAGCUGACGACCGAGAAGCUUGGCGUGGCCGGUGUGGUGAUCUGCUUCGGCACCACCAAGGACCGCAUGCUGGUGAUCGAGGAGUGCAG